rnacentral:rRNA from 1 species
GUCAACGACCAUACCAUGUUGAAAACACCGGUUCUCGUCCGAUCACCGAAGUUAAGCAACAUCGGGCAUGGCUAGUAGUAGUACUUAGGUGGGUGACCACUUGGGAAAACCAUGUGUCGUUGGCA